UACGUAGGGGGCAAGCGUUAUCCAGAUUUACUGGGCGUAAAGCGCGUGUAGGCGGCUGGUUAGGCGUGAUGUGAAAUCUUCCGGCUCAACCGGAAAACUGCAUUGCGAACCGGCCUGGCUAGAGUGCAGGAGAGGGAAGCGGAAUUCCAGGUGUAGCGGUGAAAUGCGUAGAUAUCUGGAGGAACGCCAGUGGCGAAGGCGGCUUCCUGGCCUGCAACUGACGCUGAGACGCGAAAUCGUGGGGAGCGAACCGG
rnacentral:rRNA from 1 species